rnacentral:rRNA from 1 species
CCUACGGGCGGCAGCAGUGGGGAAUAUUGCACAAUGGGCGCAAGCCUGAUGCAGCCAUGCCGCGUGUGUGAAGAAGGCCUUAGGGUUGUAAAGCACUUUCAGCGAGGAGGAAGGCAUCACACUUAAUACGUGUGGUGAUUGACGUUACUCGCAGAAGAAGCACCGGCUAACUCCGUGCCAGCAGCCGCGGUAAUACGGAGGGUGCAAGCGUUAAUCGGAAUGACUGGGCGUAAAGCGCACGCAGGCGGUUUGUAAAUUCAGAUGUGAAAUCCCCGCGCUAAACGUGGGAAUGGCAAUGGAAACUGGCAAGCAAGAUUCAUGUGGAGGGGGGUAGAAUUCCAGGUGUAGCGGGGAAAGGCGUAGAGAUCUGGAGGAAUACCGGUGGCGAAGGCGGCCCCCUGGACAAAUACUGACGCUCAGGUGCGAAAGCGUGGGGAGCGAACAGGAUUAGAUACCCGUGUAGUC